GAAGAAAAAUGAUAUGCAUACCAACAAAAUCAAGCGGAUAUCCUGACGAGUGUGCUCGUGGUGGUCGCUCAGAUCCCAGCCGUGCGUGGCGGCGGGCGUCCUCGUCGAGAUAGUGUCGUUGUAUACAUCAACUUCAUUUCCAACCCAUCCACAGGUGUACCAGCUCCUCUCUGUAUAUUGUUUGAUUUUUUCAUGUUCAAUUCAACUUUCGCUAAAAGAACUUCAAAAUCGAGCAGGGAUUGCUUGAUUUGUAGCCAAUGAUUUAAUUGUUCAUACUAUUUUGGUGUCUAGAAAUAGUAGUAAAACUACUAAUAUCGUAUUAGGGGCUACAACGCAGCAUGUAUUGUUUGUUUGAAUUAAUUUAUUUUCAUUGUAAUAGAGAGGAAGCAGUGAGUUUUGCUGGGGUUUUUUCCUGAAGGAACCGUGGUUUCUUUCAGGCCAUCUCCAUGGUAACACAGGGCCAGGGUUUUGGUGUAAGUAGCUCUAAAAUAUUAAUUAGACUGGUGAAUCUGACGGUUAUAGUGCUCCAUUCAAUUAUGAUUCACUAUCGCCGCUAUAUCAGAUGGAAGGUUUACAGUUUGGAGAUUGGAGCAUCCAAGAUAUUAUAUCAUAUUGUUCAUGAAAAGUUAUGCAAUAAGAAGUUAAGAACCACCCGAUAAUAUGGAAUCGCUGUAUGCCUUUUUACAGCAACUAGCAAGGAGCAAAAUAAUAUUUUUGAUGUUGCUUUGACUAAUUAAGUGAGGUCCUAACUUAAGUUGGCUAAUUUCUUUCAUACCCAUUAUAUGAUUGGCAUGUCCUAUUUCUCUCUUGGUUUCUUCUUCUUUCUUUUGUUGCUUCUUUGGAAUUUUGUUGGUGUAUUUUGGCUAUUUGUUGAGUGUUUGGUGCUUGGUUUUCAGUUGUUCACUUUCUUUUUCUUCCCCUUCUUUGAUUUUUCUUUUGGAUGAUCUUCUCCUAAUAGACACCAUAUGGUUUUUGUGUUGUUUCCAGGUACAGAUUUUGGUGUCAAUUCCUGGACCUUGCUGCCUGCAUGGCCAUCGGCAUAGCCAACCCGACGUGCCGGCGUUUAGCGCGGAUGGCCAGAUCUAUGCGGCAGAGAGCAUGGCCGAUGCUGGAAGGGAGGUCUUGCCGCCGGCCUCCAAGCAGUCGGUAGGCACAAUGGAUCCUAAAGCUCCAGGCUGGAUCAAAAGGGUGAGGAUUUGGGAGGAAGCCCCUGUUUAGACACCUUGUCCCAGUCAAGCACGAGCCGACGGCGGUGACACUGCAUAUGUUAUCCAGGAUCAUGCUCAAAGGUUGUGUCAUCGGCGACAAGAUCCACAAGAUGCCAUGGCGGUGGUUGCCCCGGGUGUUAAUGUAGAGGGCAGGAACCAGUAGCAGGUGAGCACCAAGAUCUCUGAAACUUUUUCUUCAAAAUACAGUAACCAAGCUGCGUUUGUUUCGUGCACAUACAUAAAUGGAUGGCUCUUCUUCUUGGAGCCCCAAGUUGUGGGAAAAAACCCCUAUUGCUACCACUUGCAGGAAAGCUCAACCAAAACCAAGAGAUGUACAUAUUUAUCCCCACAAGGCCACAAGACACAACUGUGUGUUGUAGGUAGCAUCAGAAAUUGAGUUGAAUGGGAUCAAGAUGGAGCGGUUUGUUUCCAAAAGGCACCACCUCUUUAAUUUUCUGCUGGACAAGCGGAUAACAUGCUCCGGUCCAAUUCGUGAUUGGUGUUGAUGCAUCUCUAAAUAAUCUAAUCAUUCUGUUUUGCUAGCUUGUGCCAUGCAUGUCAGUGAGUUCUGAUGUUUUUUGUACUCUUAUCAUGUUAUGUGUGUGUUUGUCUGAACUGCUAUGAGAUGGGCCGGUGGCAGGGUAACCAGAAUGUGUCUUUUUGCCUGUACAGUUCUUAUAGGAUUAUCCUUACUAUAUGUUUGAGUAAAACAACUCAAGUUCAUGUUUAUACUCAGUAGAAAUUAAAUAUGAGAUGUGCUUUCGAAUC